rnacentral:rRNA from 1 species
CCUACGGGAGGCAGCAGUGGGGAAUAUUGCACAAUGGGGGAAACCCUGAUGCAGCGACGCCGCGUGAGUGAAGAAGUACUUCGUUACGUAAAGCUCUAUCAGCAGGGAAGAAAAUGAUGGUACCUGAGUAAUAACCCCCGGCCAACUCCGUCCCAGCAGCCGCGGUCAUACGUCGGGGGCAAGCGUUAUCCGGAUUUACUGGGUGUAAAGGGAGCGUAGACGGUGCGCCAAGUCUGGAGUGAAAUGCCGCAGCUUAACUGCGGAACUGCGUUGGAAACUGGCGAACUAGAGUGCGGGAGGGGUAAGCGGAAUUCCUAGUGUAGCGGUGAAAUGCGUAGAUAUUAGGAGGAACACCGGUGGCGAAGGCGGCUUACUGGACCGUAACUGACGUUGAGGCUCGAAAGCGUGGGGAGCAAACAGGAUUAGAUACCCUUGUAGUC